ACAGAGAGAAGAGGGGAGCUGGCCAGUCAACCCGGGACCAGCCAACCAGACGCUGAGGAGGCAGGAAAGCAUGAUGGAUGGUACAUAGAUGAGGUAAACUGAGGGAAUGAAGUCAUCUCAACAAGCUCGUGUGUGGACGGGAGACAGUGUUUGAUCAACAUGUUAACAGCGACCGCUUUGAGACAGAAUGCACAGAGAAGAAGAAAAGCACAGAACAAAUGGAUUCCCGCUGCUGUUAGGUUACACAACAUCUAAGGGCAUUGCUGGGGCCCUUGCCCCACGCACACUCCGAACUUCUCCCCUCUAGAGUAAGUGCACUCACACCCACAGCAAAGAAGGUUGCUGGCUGCCUUCUGGAGUUCAGCAGACACCUAAUAAACUUAUAGUUAGA